GAUCUAGGUGCGCUAAAGCGUCUGCGGUGAAAUAAAGUAUACGUAGAAGGACUGAAACCGUAAUCCGGCCAACCGAGCCAGUCUCUUGACCUGACAUUUAAUGCUCUUACACAAGUUGCAACUACCCGUUGCUCUUUGUCCGCCAAGAUGGUGCUAUUCAUCGAAACGAUAGGAGUAGGCCAAAGGGAGAGACGGGCCAAUGAUUUUAUCGUGUCGCGUUCGAAUGUGCUCGACGCACCGCAAUUUGCUAUUUUCCACGGUAUAUGUACCAUAUCGGUUGCGAAAUCGAUGUUGGUAUUGUCUUGUCAGCGGAGAUUUGUUGGAGCAGACUUUUGCGAAUACGACUAGCGAUCGUUAUUAUCGUUAUUAGCAUAGUGUUGAAUCGGAUAUGAGAAUUCAUCGAAUACGCGUGCGAUAAACACCCUAUAUAAUCAGACACGUGCGAGUUGCACCGUGAAAUUGAGAUUUCCACGGUUCUAGAGGCACGGCAAGCAGAUAUGGGAAACCUCGCUGGUUACAACGAUGGAUUGUUCGUACUAGCGAGUCGUGUUCGUCAGGGAUUCCAAUUCUGAAAUUGAUUAAAUCAUUUGACUUGCGGUGGUACGCGUUCGCUGCUUACCACCAAGUACAAAUCCGAAACACUUGCUAACUUUGAUAGAUUCGAAAUCGAGUUUGACCGGAAGAGAACGCGUGCGACGAUGCCUUGUAGACGUACGUUGUAUACGUUGUACAAGGUUUAAUCGGAGUUAAGUGAAACGAAUUACUAUGUAGUAAACAAAUUAAGUAUAGUAGUGCCGAUGUCACGGCACUGGCUGAUGAAGGAAAUCGAAUAACACGAGAAUGAAAAGAGACAAUUUAAACCUGUGUUUCUUCGCGAUACAGAAGAAAAACAUGAGAAUUAAUGGUACGAUGAUUCAGAGUGUGUCCACUAUCUUUAACUGCCGCUCGACAGCGAGACCGUUCUCAAAAUAUUUAAUUAUACGACCAGUAGAGAUAAGUAGUCUAAGCGACUGGUUAACGCGUCUUGCACGGUUUAACGGAUCAACGGGUUUCGUUCGAUGCGACGACUUUCGACUAUCGUGGCGAAUCAACGAUCAGAAGAGAACCGAGUAAGUUACAGGAUCAGAAAUGAAACAUUAUGAUGACGGGCCUCUUGUGUUGCGUGGGUCAUUGAGAGUGUCACGCGUGACGUGGGAGCGUGUGUACGCAGAGGUAUGUCAGAGAAAAUACGGCGGAAACACGCACCAGCCGGAGGCACCAGCGAGGGAAAAGAACGAAAGAGAAGGGACAUCGUCGAGGAGAAAAGAAGACCACAUACAAGCCAGACGGCAAUUUUUCUAAUUUGUUGUUAUCCCCAGACAAGUUGAAUCGUGGCAUGGAAGAGUCUGCUACUAGAAACCCACUCAGAAUAUGCUACAUUUAUAUCGUAUUAGAAGAGGAAAAUAUUAUUUUAUUAUAUGAUUUUGAUACUUGAAUUUAUAUGCUGUUUGGUAUUAAAAGAGUCGUUAUUAUUGUAUUAAACAACGAUCAAGAGAUAUUAACUAAAAAAUGGAACAAAGACAAGGUACUCGAUAAAGCAAACGAUUCGUGGAAUGUAUAUACUUUUUUCAAAUUUACAAAAUACUUUGUUCGUUUAUCGCUAGUUUUCUGAGUUAUCUUUUCAUUUACUACGAGGGAAAUGUGCAAUGGUAGUUAUGUUCGUUAUAGAAUAAUUUUAUGGCUAGGAUAUAAUGGAGAAAUUGAACAAAAGGAUCGCGAAGGACGACGAAGAAUGCAUUCCAUACAUUGCUUCGAAAUGACGCGUCCCUACUUCUUUUAUAACCACAGGAUUUUCUCAAACAUAUCGACUUAAUGAACCUUUAAUCGGUCAUUGCGCCUAUGCUAAGGAGUAUUUCUAGAAAUAACGUAAAUGCUUGAUGUUGCUUGAAAAUUAUAGUCUUUAAAAGAUAGGAAAUACGUUGCAUUGUGCUUGGCCGAAUAAAAAUUAUAAAUUUCCGAUAAAUGAGUAAACAUCCGCGCUACGACAAAUGCAGUUCCUCGAAAACUACGAAUUAUAGGAAUCCAAUAUUCCAACUGCCAACUGCAUUUUUCAUGCACUUCCUACAAAUACCAUUUUGCUGUUAGAUCCAUACACUGGAAUAUAUGCACACACGUACCGAAGGAUCGUAGAGGACCAAGCAGGAGAAAGAAGUAAACGUUGCUGGCGAGUCGAAAUCUUGUAUUCGCUGCACUAAGCCGAAGAUAUUUAUCAGCAGAGAUUAAAACGGGACUUUCCGUGUGUAACUGCAUAAAUUUAACUUUCUUGCUACGUAUACGCACCAACACAUAUCCAGAUACCGUAACUUUUCGGUCCGGUCGACGAAUACCACGAGCAACAUCCGAGACAAGAAUUAAUAUGACAAUCUCUACGACUUAAAUCUCGAAUCGUCCUCGAAUGAACAAUAUUCGAGUAUACUGCAAACAAUACAAAAUACUAUACUAUACUAUUUAUAACACAAAACAUAUUAAAUCAUAUUACUGUGUUA